UGAGUGAACUAUCAACACUGGGCUGCAACUCAGCUGUCUCCUGGUGUGAUAGCAGUAAGAAGGUGGCUCAGCUUCUGUGUUCUUCUGUGGCUGAUGGCUGAGUCUGAGAAAGUGCUCAGGAAAACAGAAGUCGCCACCAUCUUGCUAACUCUUCUGUGUGUGCGGAAGCCUACAGAGCUCAGUUCUGCUACUGCUGCUUCCACCAAAGGGUCAAACGGAGCGUGAGGGGAAUGGGUGCUGCUGGGCAGGCAGGAGGAGGCUGCAGGGGCUGCCUCAAUCCCUCCCAUUCCCUGAGAGCAGCAGGAGCAGCAAUCCUUUCUCUUCGGUGCACCCUUCUGCAUUUACAGAACCUGGUGAGUGCUUAACUGGUUUGAAGACUCAUAGCUGCUUGGAAUCUCCUGGAUGUUAGCAUUCUGCCAUGCCUAAUGACCAAAGGUUCUGCUUACUUUCCAAAAGGCAUAGUAGAAGCCUAGCAGUCUGAAGCAGAUAAAAAAAUAAGAAUGAGCAAUAUGUUGGAAUGACAAUUAUAUAAACAAUGAACAUUAGUGCACAACAACAUAAUCAAGUCCCAAGGUCCAAUGAAUAGCUGCAUGCUUCAAAGACUCUGGGCAUGUCAGGCAACAAAAAAGUACACUCCGGUCACCAUCCAGCAACCUUGAAUAUGGAUCUGUAAGUGUUUUUAUGCAUAUACAUUUAAAAUAGCAUAAAUGAAUGGCAAAAGACCCAGCCAUGAGUAAAUAUAGCAUUGCUUUUUACUGUUGACCUUUGAGCCUAAAUCAUAUAGUCUCUUAAAUGUGUAAUUUUACUAUGAAAUGGGAUAAGCUAUAUUGUUAACUUAUGGAUGUAACUGCGGAUAGAAUUUUAUAUUCCUUUUAUCUGAAGGGAAAAUGACAUUUUUGCUGUUGCUGUUCUUAGUUUAUUUUAAAGCAUUUCUUUCCCACAUAUGGCUCUGAAUAUGAAAAAGAGCAGAGGGAAGAAAAUGUUCUAAAAAUAAAUUGUGUGAAAAGGACAUUUCUAUGAAAGGAAAUUCUCUAGAUAAAUACUUAGAGGUGAAAUACUAAAGGCUCUUCAGUAAAUAAAUAUUCCAUUACAAACCUUGGAGCUGGAAGUACCUUCUUCAGGUAAGGACAUUCAGUCAGUCUGAUCGUAUCUUCAGGAGACCACUGGUGGAAACCAGUCUUCAUUGCUGGGGGAAAGUUGAUUUCUCCCAUAGAGAAAUCUGCAGAAUCUAAGGUAAUGGUCUAAGGUAAUGUAAUUCUUUUGGGUUGCUAAAAGUGCGUUUAGUUCAUCAACCAAUUUCUGCACAGUUAUCAUAUUAUGAAUGCAAUCACAAAGUGGGAAAUUCCCUCUUCUGUCUUAAUGGAUGCUAAAAUAGUAUUUCAUGGCUUAUAGGGGUACCAAAAAGACAAAAAAAAAAUUUAUCUAGUCUAGUUAGAUGAAUUGGCCACUUCCUUCUAUGAUUGUCAAUGGGUACAGCUUUAGACUUUUAGAUUUUCCAGAUGUGUAAAUGAUCUCAGCAUUUCAGACAGAGAAUGUCGAUGUUCCACUGAGUAUAUGCAUGAAGAUGACUGUUAAUAUAUAUAUUAUAAUUUCUUUGGUUUGGGUAUUUUUUAUGAAAUCUGCUCAUGUAAGAAAAAAAGAGAGCACGUAUAAUAGUAUUGUAAAAUAAAUAUCCUCUUUAUCAUCAUACACUGAAAGCUUUAAAAUUAAAGCAUUAUGCAGAGUUUGAGAUAGAAUAAACCUUCUUUCAUGAAAAUAUCCAUUAUGCCCAUAGGAAAAUAUUAACUGUCCAAAAUUCUCCAUUGAUUUUUGCUGUAUGUGUACAUUUUUAUUCCUUUAUUAGGACUUUCAUUCUUCUUUAUAAUACAUACAUAUUAUUUUAUUACUGGUAUUACUUGGGACUAAUACUAUGAAGAAAUGUUUUUGCUCCGAUUUUUAGGAAUAUCAGUUGUAAUGUCUAAGCAACCUGAUUUUUACAGACUGAAUAUCUUAAAUCAGGAAUUAAAAAAAAUUACAACACUACAAAUAGUGAUCUGCUAUGUAAAGUCAUUGCCUUAAUUCUUUUUUCUAUUUAUUCUUUCAAAUUUUUGCUUUCCUUUUCAUUAACUGCCAAUAUUUUUCAAGCUUUCUCAGGAACUGCAAUUAUGCUUAGGAUGUGAAGAUAUAAAUAAUA